CCUACGGGAGGCAGCAGUAAGGAAUAUUGGUCAAUGGAGGCAACUCUGAACCAGCCAUGCCGCGUGCAGGAAGAAGGCCCUAUGGGUCGUAAACUGCUUUUGUACCAGAGAAAACCCGAGUACGUGUACUCGGUUGAUAGUAUGGUAAGAAUAAGCAUCGGCUAACUUCGUGCCAGCAGCCGCGGUAAGACGAAGGAUGCAAGCGUUAUCCGGAUUCAUUGGGUUUAAAGGGUGCGUAGGCGGACUGAUAAGUCAGUGGUGAAAUCUCUCGGCUUAACCGAGAAACUGCCAUUGAUACUGUUAGUCUAGAGUAUAGAUGACGUUGGCGGAAUAUGACAUGUAGUGGUGAAAUACUUAGAUAUGUCAUAGAACACCGAUUGCGAAGGCAGCUAACGAAACUAUAACUGACGCUGAGGCGCGAAAGUGCGGGGAUCAAACAGGAUUAGAUACCCUGGUAGUCCGCACCGUAAACGAUGAUUACUCGUUGUUGGCAAUAUGACCGUCAGCGACCAAGCGAAAGCGAUAAGUAAUCCACCUGGGGAGUACGCCGGCAACGGUGAACGUUAAAUGAAUUGACCGGNNGAGAGNGCGAGACGACGACGAGGGAGGAGG
rnacentral:rRNA from 1 species